GACAGAGGGUGCAAGCGUUGUUCGGAAUCAUUGGGCGUAAAGCGCACGUAGGCGGUCGUGUAAGUCGGAUGUGAAAGCCCUGGGCUUAACCCAGGAAGUGCAUCUGAUACUGCAUGACUUGAGUCCCGGAGAGGGUGGUGGAAUUCCUGGUGUAGAGGUGAAAUUCGUAGAUAUCAGGAGGAACACCGGUGGCGAAGGCGACCACCUGGACGGAGACUGACGCUGAGGUGCGAAAGCGUGGGGAGCAAACAGG
rnacentral:rRNA from 1 species